rnacentral:rRNA from 1 species
UACGUAGGUGGCGAGCGUUGUCCGGAUUUACUGGGCGUAAAGGGAGCGUAGGCGGAUUUUUAAGUGAGAUGUGAAAUACUCGGGCUCAACUUGAGUGCUGCAUUUCAAACUGGAAGUCUAGAGUGCAGGAGAGGAGAAUGGAAUUCCUAGUGUAGCGGUGAAAUGCGUAGAGAUUAGGAAGAACACCAGUGGCGAAGGCGAUUCUCUGGACUGUAACUGACGCCGAGGCUCGAAAGCGUGGGGAGCAAACAGG